CCAACCUUAACUUUGCUAGCUGUAACUAAAAAGAGCUUCCGUUUAAAUGGUAUUAUAAUGAGCCAAAACGUCAAAAUCGAUCUUUUCCCAACCCAAAUUGCCAUGCAUCAGACAGCAACGUUAGACCAAGGCAGCUAAAUGUAUUGAUUUAUUCUCAACUUCCCCGGCCCCCCCGCCCAGCCAGAGCCCUGCCCGGGUACGCGCUGCGUCUCCCCUCCAGUGUAAAACCUCUUGCAGCGUGCGGGUCCCGGGGAGCCCCGCCGGGGCUGUACCCCGCCCCCGUUUUCCCGGGAGAGAGCUGCAGACCCGCGGCGCAGGCGGGGAGCGCCGCCGCCUCACCGGCAGUAGGGUGAGGGCUGCGCACCGCACCGCCGACAGGGGGCGGCAGAGAGCAGCUGCCGCAGGCGCCGCGCCAACGCCGCGCAGCCUGCGCGCCCAGAUAAAGCAUCCCGAUGGCUCAGGAAUUUUACGUCGUUCUUAACCGCUGCACACAAAUCUUGGAGAGAGUUUCCAGGCAAAAUACAGCAGCAUCCUACGGCAGGCUGACAAAGAGAUUCCAAGAAUGCCACGCAUCUAGGAGGGAAGUACGCAUCCCUCUCUUUAGCCUGAAGCACGAAAUUGGCUUAAAGCUCAUUUUGCAGAUAACCAGAAACGAAAUCAUCAGUGCGUGGACUGGGUGCCUGCAACUUUCUAACGGUCUGCAGCAAUUCCUGAGACUUUCCGGAGGGGUGGGGGAGAGGGGGGGGAGAGGAAGAAAACAACAACCAAAAAAGAAAAAGAAAACAAACAAACAAGAAAGAGUGAACCACAAGUUACAAGGCUCUAAAAAACUCCUCGCAUCUCAACAAGUAUUUUUCGCCCUGGUGUGCGGAGGGCUUGGCUCCCACACGGGCAUCGGUUCCCUCAAGUCUCUGUGCCGAGACCGAUCCCACGAGGUCGGAAAAUGAAUGUCCUAGAUUUUGUCUUCCACAAUUAUUUUUAGACUCAUAAAAAACCCACCUGCACACAGGUGCAUAUAUUAAAUGACGGGUCGCUCACAUUUCGUGAAAUACACUUAUAGCUCUGUGUUGCAUAUCCAAACAGAAAAGACCAGUAAGGUGUUUCCCGGACAAGCUGUCCCGUAGAGGGGCCGAAUGUAGAUGUCUGACCCACGGCUGUGACCAGAAAACUAAUAAUUUCUGAAUUUCGGGGUUCCUACCCAGGACAAACCAUUGACCCUACUUUAAAGGAAAGAGGAAGAGCCAGGUUGCUGCUGGCACUUCUCACCCCCAGCCAACGUUCCUGCACUUGCUGCACCGCACUGGCUCUGGCCACUGCUCAGCCACAGCCCCUGCCUGGCUCCGGCCGCACCGACCCGCUCUCCCCCGCCGCACCGAAGUUAAUCUUCCCCGUCGGAAUUAAGGUCAACACGAAACGGGACAAGCCCUUGUUUCGCAUUCUGGCUCCAUGACAAGAGGGUUAAAGUUUAAUAUCAGCGGGCUGCCCCGAGUCAACACCGGCCCACGGCUGCCGCCGGCUACGUGGGACAGAAGCCGGGCGGGGGCAGGCGGGGCAGCCGCGCCGCAGAGCCCCGGAGAGCCCGGUCGGAUCAGCCCGGCUGGGGCGAGCGGUUCCCGCAGCUCCCCCCGGCCAGCACCGAGCCCUCUGCCCCAGGCAGCGGGGAGAAGCUGCGGCACCGUCCCUUGCGGGGGGCCGGGGACCCGCAGGGGAGAUCUCCCACUGCCCCCCGCUUCCUCUGGGGCUUUUUCCCAGGGGUAAAGGGCUUCCUAAAUGAACAUUUCCAGAAGUUCUCAUCCUCUCGUUUUCAUUUAAAUAAUGUUCAGGCUUGUCUAACCAAAAAGCUACGCGUGAGAAUUGUGGUGUGCACGCAUGGAAAUGCAGUCCUCGGAAAGGCUAGACAAGCUUCCCACCACCUCAUAGCCUUAGAAGAACGUUUGUGAAACACCGAUAGAAGGUUUUGUUGUUGUUGUUGUUGUCCCCCUCCUCCGGGAUAUGAUGGUAAAAAAAACAGUUACUUAAAAGGAAACAACCUGUAGUUGACAAGAGUGGCUUUUGAGAAGCUGCAGGUUUGCAUAGCGGGCAGGCCCCUCGUUGUAUAGAAAUGUAUGUAAGAACUUCACAUGUGCCUCCUGAAGUUGGAGAUUUUUCAAUUGUUUAGUUAUUUUCACGAUUGCUAUGAGACACCGGAGACCUGUUUAUUUAUUAUCUCAACAUUUACUACAAUGUUUUUGCUGUCAAUUGCUAGCGGUAGCUGCAGUGUCAAAUAUGUCUUUACUGAAAGAUAGCUACAUGGUAUAGGAUUUAUGUCUCCUGGGAGGAAGAGCAGAAACUAUAGCACUAGUAAUAUUCUGUAAGAAUUUUGUCGAACUAUCUCUGGCACCUGACACCUUAAUAUAUUCAGUUCUUUAGAUGGCAACUUUCUUUGAAACUGGACUUUCUUUACAUACUAAAGAUGAAUCUAUGACAAAAGUGAAACUUGUUUGCAAUAAUAAUAAAUUCCUGCAUGCUAUGUCUGUGUUACAAAUACAUAUUAAUUUUGAAAAUGUUUUGUCAAAUAACAGCAGUAAUUAAAACCAAUAGACAUUGUGCAUACAUGUGCACACAGUAUAUAUAUGUAUAUAUAUAUUGUGUGUGUGUGUAUACACACUUUACACUGUAUGUCUCAUACCCAUGCAUGUGAUAUACUCUGUACAUAGUAUACAAGGUAGUGCCUGGUACAUACACAGCAUAUGAUAUUGCAUAUUUACAGGAGUCAGAGACUCCCUUCUUACACAUUUCCUCGCAAGCACAUGGAUUUUGCAUAUGUGCUUACAUCUUAAAUGAUGCAAGAAACAUGAUUUUGAAUGCUAAAUUCUGAACAUAUUGCCAUGGAGUAAGGUGAAAAUACACAACCUAUGUGCAGGCCAUUUCUUAAAACUUACAUUUUCAUUACAUGCUUACCGUUGCUGUUAACAGACUGGAACUCAAAGGAAGAGCACCAGUCUCUGCAGAAAGCUCCCCAUGAAGUCCAGAGAGUAUUCUGCCUGGUACUUUCUUCAUUAUCAUUGAUUUAAGAUAUAGGCUGAAUUUGGGGAGGUUAAUUUUUUUUUCCUCUAUGGUUUUCAUAUAGUUCGAAUUAUUCUACCAUUACCACUUCAUCGCAGUAACAUCUGUUGAUCCCUAUAACCUGAAGUGACUUAAUAAGUUCAGUUUGUUUGGAAACACCCAGAUUUAGAUGGAUCCUCACAAUAUUUGCUUCCUAGUAUUCUCAUUUUUUUUUUCCAAUGCCUGUUUCCACUCCAGCCAUUAUAGAACUCAAGAUAACAAUCAGGUCCAUAGUGGGCCACAACACAUUGCACUCAACACUUCUUCCUCCAAACAAUAUAGACCCUAAGCAGGAAUCCCUCUGCAUCAUUUGAAACCCUUCACCAGUAUUAGAGAGCAGCAAUUCCAAGGUUCCUGAUAGGUCAAGAAAACCAGGUUAUUUGAAAGAACAUUAAUAAAUGAGAAUAUGCAGAUAUGAGGGAUAGCUAUUUGCAGCAGGAAAAGGGUAAAACCCUCAUACUGUAGCUGGCACUGAAUUAAAAACUAUACAACAGAUUAGAUAUCAACCACUUCUAUCAAAUCCAAGGCCCAGGAACCUAGGGGGAGGGAAAUAUGCAAGAGCAGACGCUUAGAAGGUAAAACACCCCAAUUAACCUCAUUAUCUGUUACAAAACUGUACUAUUAAUAUUCUGGGUUUUUCAAAUUACUGUUGUUGUUGUUGUUGAAGAGAAUCUGUUGACUAUAGCAUGUGUUUUGCUGUAGUCUCCCAAAUCAGCAUUGCCCUUCUUAAGGUCAGGGGAAUGUAUCUUAAAACAUGCAUAUAUUUAAAAAAUAUGUAUUGUUAUUUUAAUAGGCACUGUGGAUAGUUUAAUUUGUAUCUGUAUUAAAUUAAACAUAUGGUGAACAGGGUAUAAUAGAUUUUCUAUAAUUUAGCUGCCAAUGUGGCAACAGAAGCCAGUUACUCUCACCAGUAGACUUGUCAGUGGUUUGUUUACUAGCUUAUUUGAAUUAAAAUAAAGCUUCGCUUCUGCUGACUGCACAUCAUUAUCUAUGAGACCAUAAUCCUGCUAGCAAAUCCUAUAUCUUCCAGAACUGGCUCUUUUGUUUGGGAUUACUGAGAGCUUAGCCUAUAACAAAGAGGAAUAAGGCAUCCCUCUCAUCCUCGUAAUUAAGUGUGGGGAGUAAUUUAGAAACAAACCCAGAAAGAUGUACAAUUUGGAGUUCUGCUUCUAUACAGGAUUGGGGAACAGAAGAGGCCAAACACUGAUUAUGUUAGCACAAUGUUUAAACUAUUAAACUACUGUACAACAGGAAUCUAGCUUUUAAAAAGAAACAACAACUAUCAAUAAAGUAUUAAGUUGCUUUACACUAGCGACAUUUUUUACUUAUCUAAAGGUAUGUUGGAAAAUUUGGGUGGAGCUUAAAGACUGAAGACUAUUUGAAAUCUCAGUUUUUCUACAUGCACACAUUACAUACAUGGCACUCUUGUAACAUAUCUAGUUUGAAAUUAAAGAGCAUAAUUUGA